CGGCGGAGCGAGACUGUUGCUGUUGCAAGCAAAAGCUGAGCUGUGUUUUUUGGCCUGAGCUGCCUGCUGCUGCUGCUGCUGCUGCUGCUGCGGAGCGCAGCUAUCAAUCUUUCCUGCUCCCCACCCCUCCCCGGAUCUCAGAAAGAAUGAGGAUCUCAAACUUGGCGCUUUGCAAAGGCUCCAGAAAGAGAAUCUGGAGGAGUUGCUCCUGCCGCCGCCGCCGCUGCUGCUGUUCCUCUUCCUGCUGCUGCUGCUGCUGCUGCUUGUAGGUUCAGACAUCUUAGAAAAAGAGGAGAGGUUUCCGGGCACUCCGAGCAAGAGACACCGGACUCGCUCGCUCCGCUUUUGGAUUUACAAAACACGCCUGGCAGAUGGCGAAGGAGGAGAACCAGAGGCAUCUUUUGCUCUUCCUCCCGGGAUUGAUUUAAGGAAUAUGUUUUAAUCGCUGUUUAUCGGAUUUGCUUUCUUCGUCGCUGUUUUUAAAAAUAUUAUCUUAAAUAUUUUUUGUAUUGCAACCUCGGAGGACCCCCCCCCCCUUCAAGCUUUCUACUUCGCUGAUCUUUCUGAAACUGGGGCGAGAGAGGAAUUUGAAAACAACACACACACACAAAAGGGAUUAACAGUUAAAAAGCAGCGAUGGAGGGAAAAGCCGCUGGUUUUGCAAGAAGGUAAGGCGGAGAAAGAUUGAAGGGGCGCCUCCUGGUCCCCUUCCCCAAAUAUCGCCCCCACCCCACCCCACCAGUCAGCCUCUUUCACUGCUAAGAGGGCAGAAAAAUUGGGAUAGAUCAACGCCGAUUCCCUCCCCGCCCCCAGGCUCGAUCGUUUCCUCAGAGAUGUCGGGAGUCUUGCCUAUUAUUAUUAUUUAAAAAAUAUAUUUGGAUGUGCAACGGAGAUGACGAUAUCAAAGCAAUGCAUUUUUGAAAAUCGGGCGGGGGGGGGGAGAUAUUGCACGAGUUCCUGCGUGUAGGAGGAGUAACGGGGGGGGGGGGGAGAAGGCGAAGCAAAUCCCAGGAUUCAAAACACAACAAAACACCCCCUUGUUCCGUCGCGGUCUUCUCCGCCUCAAUUUCUCCUUUCCUUGUGGAUCUAGUAGAAAAUUCCCUGGAAGUGCUGUGUGUGCGCGGGGGGGGGGGGGGCUGGGGCUGGGAAUUCCCUUCAGGUUGGACGGCGCCCCCUCCCCCGCCCGCCCGCCGAGUAAUUUUAAUUUAUGUUUAAUUUUGCGCGUGUCUUGGACGUGAUGAGAUAGUUUUCCAGCCCUCCAACUCGGGGGAAGUCUUCUAGCGCCUUGAUCCUGCCCUCUUCGACUUAAGUUCUGAUUGAUUCCAGCAAAGUUUACUUGCGAGCAAGGCUCCAGCCCGGCGCAGUUCUCGCUUGGCUGAAAUCAGUGGGACUGGAUUCUUUGCUUAGGAUUCGACGGCGCACUCGGAAGAAAGAGUUUACACCCAGGUAAGCGUGGGGAGGAUUGCAGCUUGGCAGUGACUCCGAAGCGGCGCUAGUUUACCUCGGUGCAAGCCUCACUUGCUUGUGUGUGUGCGGCGGACGGGGGCAGAUGGACCCAAGUCAGGAUCCAGCCGGCUUUGGAGCCAAAGGCCAGGAUUUUGAUCUCUUAACUUGCGAAUAAAAGUUGCAUCCAAGGCUUUGGAGCUUGUUUCCAAGAGAGGCAGCGAUCUUGCGCACGCUUACUUGAGAGUAAGACCGGUUGAUCUUGGUCAGGCUUACUGUUCCGUAAACAUGUAGAUAAUGGGGUUGUGGGCCUGCAGGGAGAAAGAGAGAGAAUGUACCAGAAGUGCAUUUAACUGAACUUGUGCUGUCUCAGUUUCUCAAUCUGGCGUAGGCCAUCAUGAGGGAGGAAAGUGACAAAUGGUGUCCUUUGCGCUCCUGAACUCAGGGAAAGAAAGUGGUUCCCCAUCUGGAACUGUAAACACAUACUAGAAUUUCAGAAUCCGGAGCAAAUAGGUGCUAAUUCGUGUGUGCUUUUGGUUAUUCAAGAGCAGAAAAUGCAGGCAGUUAUGUGGCUGAAAUCACAGUCCUUUGUGAUCAAAACACGCCUGAGACUUGUCUCCUUUUUCCUCAACAACCUUUGCAAAGGAAACUCUUCAAGUGGGGCUGGGCACUGGCACAGCUUUCUCCUCUUACCCCUUUCUUUCCUCCUCUGGUCACCCAAAUGGUGGUUCCUUUUUGCUGGCAUUUUGUUUGUUUAUGUCUCCAGUUUCCUUGAUGAGGGUUUGGUGGCAGUGAGCCACUGGGCUGCUUAUUUUUCCAAGCCAUGGCCACAUGGCAAACUUGUGACAGCAAAGCCAGAGAUUUGGGUUCCUGGAGUUAAUGAGGAAGGCUCUCCAAGGCUUCAGUUGGCAUUUGGGCAACCUUGGUCCUUUGGAGGAGGCCCUGUCCUAUCUCUCUGGCAGUCAGAAAGCUUCUCUGAGUACGUAAACUCAUCUUCCUUCAUUAGUUUGCAUGUGCACCCUGUGGGAAAACUGCGUUUGUGGUGAAACACAGCUUUGGUUCCUGUUUUGAUAAGGCAUUGAACAUGCUUCUGUGUUGACUUCGGUGGUUGAUAUAUAAAUAUUGGUUGAGAAAGUGAAGUUGGAUUUCUGAGCAUCUGUGUUUGUAGGAAGAAACUCAGAAUGCUCUUGCACUCGGGUUGUGUUGGUUUUUUGCUUUUGAGGUUUCUUCUUUCCCACUGUUCCUAACUCUGCUGCCUUUUAAAAUUUUUCUUCCUGCUUCUUGGCCUGCACAAAGUACAGUUGGCAGGAGACUCAGUCCAAGACUCCCAUCUUGGAGGCAGCUGCCCCAUAUCCCUAGCUGAACCUGCUGCUUGGAGGGGACUUCUUCAGGCUUGACACUCGGUGUGCCUUUUUUCAUUUCCUGCAUAUGUGAACCAAACAACAAAUGCACCUUCAUCUUUACUGGGUUGGCAAGCUUUUCCUAUCCCACGUUCCUGAAUAGUCUAGAUACCGUGUGUUGUCCCAGGGUUAAUGAAGGCUUCAUACAGUAUUUUGUCUGCAACAUUCUCUUCUAGAGGAUAUUUGUACAGUCAUUUAUGAAAGCUGCAGGCAGCCUUGAGUUGUGUGGGGCAGGAGUUCUGCUGUUUGACCCUAUAUUAUUCCUACUUCCCCAAGGAGCUUUAUAGGCUCUUACCUUAGCCACACAACUCUUUAUUGUGAUUGGUUGCUGCCUUUUCUUUUCCCUGCAUGUAAACACCUUAGCAAGUUUUGUCAGGGUGGAAAAACAUACUUGCAGUCUCCUCCUUGGCCCCAACUGCACUAUACAUUGUAAACAAUAUCAUACCACUUUCAACAGCAUCCAAAGAAUUUUGGGAACUGUAGUUUGUUAGGGGUGCUGAGCGUGGUAAGGAAUCCCUAUCCAAAGUUACAAUUCUCAGAGCUGUUUAAUAAUCAACCCCUCUGAUCAGGGAAUUUGGGGAAUUGUAGCUCUGUGAGGGGUUUAGAGAAGGGCUAGGCAGAAGGUAAGGAUUUCUAGGUGAUUUGUAGAGUAUCUGCAAGAGCCUCUGGUUCCCAACUGAGCAGCAGCAACAGCAACAAAUCAUCCCCAACAAUUAGGCUGUAGAAAAAUAAUGCUUAGGGGGAAACCAGGAUUGGAUUUUUGUUUGGGAAAAUACAUGCUAGCUUGGUUCUGGUACUGAUUACUAACUCCUUGACUGAGUGCUCCGUUUCUUAAUUUUUAGUGUAUACCUCUCCGCUUUGAUCUACUACUUUCAGUGUUCAAAACUAGCCAGGCACCAGGCGCAUUUUGCAACUGACGAGGGUCCAUUUGCAACCACAUGAAGAUCUCUGGACGCCAGGUUGGCAACUGGGGAAAGCAAAAUGUCACUUAGAGAAGAAUCUGAAAUAUUUUCCUUGAAGCUUGAAUUAAUUUUAUUCUGAAUUGUUUUAUUUGAUGUUUUAAUGUGCUGUAAACUGCUUUGAGAUUUGUUGUAUAAAAUAUAAAGCGGUAUAGAAAUGGAAAUAAAUAAAUAAAUAAAAAAAUAAAUAAAUAAAUAAAAAAAUCUCAUUGGGGUAUGGAAUGGCGCCUAGGCAUUCCAUUGUGGUGACUGUGGCCUAGGCGUAAGGUGCCAUUUGGCGGUUAGAUUAGAUAGUUUCUAACACUGACUACUUUACACCUGACUACAACUGGUGGAAAUCGGGGUUCUAGU